ensembl:misc_RNA Metazoa_SRP Metazoan signal recognition particle RNA
UCCCAGCACAGUGGUGCACGCCUGUAGUCCCAGGUACUUGGGGGUCUGAGACAGGAGGAUCACUUGAGUCCAGGAGGUUUGGGCUGUAGUACACUAUGCCAAUCGGUUGUCCACAAUAAGUUCAACCUUAAUAUGGUGACCUCCCAGGAAUGGGGGCAUAAGUUUCCCUAAGGAGGCAUGAACUGGCCCAGGUUGGAAACAGAGCAGGUCAAAAGUCUCAUGAUGAUCAGUCAGUAAAGAGUUUUUAAUUGCAAGUUCAAACUCAAGUCUCUUGUCCUAUGCAGUGAUGGGUGUAGCAG